rnacentral:rRNA from 1 species
CAGUCUAAGUUCCUUGGAACAGGACGUCAUAGAGGGUGAGAAUCCCGUAUGGGAUGGGGUGUCCGCGCCCGUGUGAAGCUCCUUCGACGAGUCGAGUAGUUUGGGAAUGCUGCUCAAAAUGGGAGGUAUAUCUCUUCUAAAGCUAAAUACCGGCCAGAGACCGAUAGCGCACAAGUAGAGUGAUCGAAAGAUGAAAAGCACUUUGAAAAGAGAGUUAAAAAGCACGUGAAAUUGUUGAAAGGGAAGCGCUUGCAGCCAGACU